AUUGAACGCUGGCGGAAUGCUUUACACAUGCAAGUCGAACGGUAGAGGGGGCAACCCCUCGAGAGUGGCGAACGGGUGAGUAAUAUAUCGGAACGUGCCCAGUCGUGGGGGAUAACGUAGCGAAAGUUACGCUAAUACCGCAUACGAUCUACGGAUGAAAGCGGGGGAUCGCAAGACCUCGCGCGAUUGGAGCGGCCGAUAUCAGAUUAGGUAGUUGGUGGGGUAAAGGCUCACCAAGCCAACGAUCUGUAGCUGGUCUGAGAGGACGACCAGCCACACUGGAACUGAGACACGGUCCAGACUCCUACGGGAGGCAGCAGUGGGGAAUUUUGGACAAUGGGGGAAACCCUGAUCCAGCAAUGCCGCGUGAGUGAAGAAGGCCUUCGGGUUGUAAAGCUCUUUGUUCAGGGAAGAAACACCGGCUCUAACACAGUCCGGGAAUGACGGUACCUGAAGAAUAAGCACCGGCUAACUACGUG
rnacentral:rRNA from 1 species